rnacentral:lncRNA from 1 species
UUUAUCUCUAUUUUAUUUUGGACUAAAUUAUUUUGCUGUUCAUUUAGUAGUUAUAUUCAUUUAUUUAUUUACAGAGCGUUCCUCCUUUCUCAUCACGAAAAAUACGUUCAAAAAUUCGUUUGUUAUAUACGACACGAACGCUGACUUGGAUAUUUAUUCCAAAAGAGCUGCUCUGAGAUCAUCUGAAACGGUGGUUAGUCUUGUAUCAUCCAUCGGUAAAUUUUUAUACUAUUUAUUAUUUAUUUAUUUUUAGUAUAUUUUUUUUAUUUUUUUAUUUUUGUAUUAGUUAUAUUUUGCAUCUAUUUUGUGUUGUUUUGCCUCCUAGCUAACGCUAUUUUCUACUUGACUAAUAAAUUUUUAAAAAUUUUUUUAGAUGAAGAAAUAAUUUUCUGUGCUUCCGGGACAAUCAUAGAAUGCAACAGCGGCAGUAAUGGCCUCUUUGAUGUGACCAUAUUGACGACAGCUAGUUUACUGAGAUCCGAUGUUGAGGAUAAGAUAGUAGAAAAUAUGCAGGUGGAUAAUAUGAAAUUUUAGUGUUAUUUGUAAUUUUUAAUUUUUUCUUCAUUACUUACAUAUGCAUGUGUUGUUUCAAAUAUAUCUGUGUAGAUGCUUAUUUAUCCUUAAAUCUUUUUUUUUUAAGGUAAUUGUAUACUUGUGGGAUGGGAAAUCGUACAAAG